UUCUUUCAUGCUGUGCUUUAUAAGUGACACACCACUCCUCUCACAAAACUUUUAUGUAUGUCAAUGACAAAGGUACUUCAUAAACACAUAAAGGUAGGCUGUGAUACGCAGAAUGUUUAGAAUGUGUUUGCGUCGCCUCUCUGUGACCCUAAAUUCACCUUUCAGCCGUGAUUUAAAACGAGGUUAAAGGGCCAUAUCUUGAGAUUCACCGAGUCCCAUUGCCUUCCUGUUAUAGCGGUGUUCGGAGUUUACCGUCGAUGUAAGGACCCUAGCCAAUGAAAAUCGGUGUCAUCCCCUACUUUCCUGGAGGACCAACUCUGCAAACAGAAUGAGCUCCCUGGCGGUGUAAUCGUGGCUUAAAGAUAACUGAGGACUCUGGGGUGGUGCUGCUAAACGUUAGCCGCGGUGUGUGCGUUCAGCGGCGACUGAAACGCAGAACGGCGGUGGAUGUUUCCAUGUCUGGAUCACCAUUGACACUGGUCUUAAUUUUCAACCGAGUUAACGUGUUAACACGCGAAGCAGUGAUGGUCAAUGGCAGCAACUGGCCACAAGAGGGAGCCUUUGAAGAAAUGCAUUCAAUGAUUGGCGUCAGGCCGCAGUCCUCAGGUGAGUUCACAAGGGCAACUUUAUAUUUCUGUCUUUUAAUGUGCUGUUAAAUUAUGAUGUUAUGUUAUGUUUUUAUGCUUGUUUGGAGGGAGUUUGGGGAGGGUGGUCUAUUAAGUUAGAGCACCUGCAUUGUGUGCCAAGCCCCAGUAGGCUGGGAGCAAAAGCUAGCUAGCAGCUAGCUCUCCGUCCAUCCUACUCUUGUCAUUCCUCUGGGUCAGAAUAGAACCAAUGCAGAAAAUCUUUUCAA